rnacentral:lncRNA from 1 species
AGCAAAGCGGCACGCGUGGUUCCGAUCGACAAAGGUCCUUCAAACGAAUGAAUCCCUAGCAAAAAUUCUAAUAGAAGCUUGUAUUAGUCUAAUAAGUUUUUCUAUUAGAUGUAUUGGUCUUAUAAAAAUUUUUAUUAGCCUAAUAGAUGGAUGUAUUAGUCUAAUACAUUCUCCUAUUAGCCCUAUUAGUUUGUAUUAGUGAGCUGUAUAAGACUUGUAUUAGUCUAAUAGGUCUCGUAUAAGUUUUGGUCUGGCACCUAUUCGGCUAAUAGAAAUAUGGGUAUUUUGUUUAACAAGCUGGAUAUUUGUAUGUAAGUGUUCAACUGCAAAAUUGAUGACUCAAUUGGUUCAUCUAUUAGCCUUAUUAGUUUGUAUUGGUAUGUUAUAUAUGACUUGUUGAAAUUGAUAUUAGCCUAAUAGGUAGAUCGUACGGGCUUUUGUCCUGCACCUAUAUUAGGCUAAUAGAAAUAUGGUUAUUCUCUUAAACAAGCUAGGGCAUCAAGUAAAUGUUAAACCACAAAAUUUGUGACAUAAGGAUGACCUCUGGGUUACUAGCAUGUUUAUGGUGGCGCAUGUCAGGCAUGCAUCAUUCUUAUUCUGAAGAAGAUUUUCUCGCGCUGUGCAUAAAGUAUAUGUUUCACGAAAGAAAAGAGUACGGCAUCUAUUAAUAUGUGCCUCACAUUUUGGAAUUAACAUCACAGAGCUAUUGUGAUCUGCACAAUUUUCAUAAUAGCCUUGUUGCCCAUAUUGGCCAGACUUAAGGUUUUGAUCCUUGUUCCUUGUAAAUGCGACCAUCACUGAUUUCUUUCACAAUGCCAUCAUGAGUUUCAGGUUGCCUUCUCUUCAACGUGUCCAUUAAGCCCUAUGACACUGCUUUGUCAAAAAGCAUGACUUCAAUUUGUUUCUUGAGGUCCAAUGUAACAACAAAUUUUGACCAGAGAUUUCGGUGGUACAAUGUGGGCAUGAAAAAACCUUCUGACGAGGAUUCGAUAUCACAGCUUCGCAUGCUUGACAAAAAUAGUGACGCUUGACAAGGUCAUCCAUCCACUGCCUGCACGCUUUCCUUAGCAUCCAACUCGAAGUAGGAAGGACGGGCUUGCCCAGGAAAAGGUUAAUUAUUCCCACAAGCUUCUCCAUUCCUGUCCAGUUCAGUGCUACUGACACAGUGUACGCCAUAACAGUCAUGUCCGAGUUGGGAAGGCGUUCGCCAGAGAAGAUGAGACAAAAUUCACCAGCAUCACCUUCGCACCUAUAUGUAUCGCUGCAAUCUUCAGCGGAACCACUAGAUUCACUGUCAGACAGAUUGCUAGCGACGCCGCAGCUUUCUGCACGAUCACUUGCACUUCCACUUUGGUCGCUUGCAUCGUUGUCAGAAGCUUCACGGGGCGAGUCACUCACGCCGGUAUUUGCACUUGCGGCAGCACAGUUGACAAGAGGCGACUACUUGUGCGAAGGUGGCUUGGUGCACUGGCGGUUAUCCUGGUACCUCGAAGAUGUAGUACGUGAUAAUAAAUAAGCCGCCUCCGGUUCCAAAUAACGUUUCCUCCGCUCUGCAGUUUCAGACGUGCCGCCAUCAUGACGGAUAGCGCCUAAGUGCCUUUUAUCACUGCACCAUAUCCGAAAAAUGAAAAACCAAGUCAGGACUCGACUGAUUCAAUUUGACUGAGACCGCGACUAAAAGAACAACAAUGUUUGCUUGUUUGUUUUCUUGCUUUUUCCCUCUAUGGCGAUGGCGAUCCUACUGUCCCAUAUAGACGGUGUAUUUUAUUAACUACUCAUACAGUAUAAGAAAGCAAAAAAAAAAGCGAGAAAAAAAUUUUAACAUCGGAAAAAUUGAACAACAAAUUACACAGGCACGCAAACGCGUAUUUGGUUUGGAGUGUGAAUGAAACGUACUUACCGCUGGUGUCAUGCCAAAAGCAUAAACUUGCGCAAAGAGCUCAUACUUUUGUGAUUACUUUUAUUCCCGCGCAGAUUCAGUGAAUUUUUCCUCCGUAAUGGGAUUUGUGAGGAUUUUAGAAAUGUCCAAAUGGUGCAAACUAAAUUAGGAUUUCUAGGCGCAAACUCACUUCCCACCCCAUCAGCAUCGUCACCGCCAUCAGCUUUAACACGUGUGUUUCGCCGCUGGGCCUUCCGUCGCUGGGCCCAACGUUUCUUUCUCUGCGGUCUACGGCAAGCGAAGUUUGACAGCGCAGUUAUAUCACCACGUGUAAAACCUGCACAAUGUACGCUUAUGUGCGCUUCAAGGACGACGGCGUGAAGGUUGUCUGCACGAAGAAAGAAUUAAGAUAUUCUCUCCGUAUAGUAUCAAAGACUUCGACAACAAACAAUGGUACAGUGUACGCUGGGAUGACGAAAACAGCGGAUAUUUCAGAGCCCAGAUUAUGAAGUUGUUUGUAACCAAAGAGGAGGCUGAUGCUUCCGCGGAAAGCUCGAGCAAGAGAUUUUCCUGCCCCCAAAUGCCUAUGGACAGCAGUUUAGAAGGCGACACCGAAGCGAGUGGGGAAUCCUGCAGAAAGCACAAAAGAGAAAAACAAGUGCCAAAAUCUCGUGUGAAGGAUACCGAGGCACAGUUUAGGAAAAAACAGCUGGACCUUUUGUUUCCUCCUGAAGCAUGAAAGGGAGGAGAUUGUCUUCGGCAAGAAGUUGUGAGGCUGCGCAAGAUCUUCAAAGCAGAUUUCUUCAGCCACUCCUCGUCCAGAAGUAUCCAUUUAAGGAGGUUGACCUCGCGGUAAAAAUUGCGGACAUCAUGAAGGUACCGACGCCACCAACUCAGCAGCUAACACCACCACCUCAGCAGCCAAAUGAGGAAGGUUAACUGUAGAGGGCUCACCUCACUUGACGAUUUAAAUAAAGUGUGUUUGUGUUUGACAACUGCCUUUGUGUCAUAUGCAGUGACAUGCAUGCCGCUGCCGCAUGCUACGAGCAAAGCCUGCUCGCUGCCUGUGCAGGCACCUAUUGAUCUAAUAGAGGCUAUUAGUUUAUGCGUAUUAGCCUAAUACAGGCUAUUAGCUUAUGCCUAUAAGCCUAAUACAGGCUAUUAGU